rnacentral:rRNA from 1 species
GAUGAACGCCGGCGGCGUGCCUAAUACAUGCAAGUCGAGCGAAUGGAUUGAGAGCUUGCUCUUAUGAAGUUAGCGGCGGACGGGUGAGUAACACGUGGGUAACCUGCCCAUAAGACUGGGAUAACUCCGGGAAACCGGGGCUAAUACCGGAUAACAUUUUGAACCGCAUGGUUCGAAAUUGAAAGGCGGCUUCGGCUGUCACUUAUGGAUGGACCCGCGUCGCAUUAGCUAGUUGGUGAGGUAACGGCUCACCAAGGCAACGAUGCGUAGCCGACCUGAGAGGGUGAGCGGCAACACUGGGACUGAGACACGGCCCAGACUCCUACGGGAGGCAGCAGUAGGGAAUCUUCCGCAAUGGACGAAAGUCUGACGGAGCAACGCCGCGUGAGUGAUGAAGGCUUUCGGGUCGUAAAACUCUGUUGUUAGGGAAGAACAAGUGCUAGUUGAAUAAGCUGGCACCUUGACGGUACCUAACCAGAAAGCCACGGCUAACUACGUGCCAGCCGCCGCCGUAA